rnacentral:rRNA from 1 species
UGGGGAAUUUUGGACAAUGGGGGCAACCCUGAUCCAGCCAUUCCGCGUGAGUGAAGAAGGCCUUCGGGUUGUAAAGCUCUUUCAGUUGAGAAGAAAAAAUCGUGACUAAUAAUUGCGAUUUAUGACGGUAUCAACAGAACAAGCACCGGCUAACUCUGUGCCAGCAGCCGCGGUAAUACAGAGGGUGCGAGCGUUAAUCGGAAUUACUGGGCGUAAAGGGUGCGUAGGCGGUUAAAUAAGUUAGAUGUGAAAUCCCCGGGCUUAACCUGGGAACUGCAUUUGUGACUGCCAGACUAGAGUGUAGCAGAGGGGGGUAGAAUUCCACGUGUAGCAGUGAAAUGCGUAGAUAUAGGAAGGAACACCAGUGGCGAAGGCGACCACCUGGACUGAUACUGACACUGAGGUGCGAAAGCGUGGGGAGCAAACAGGAUUAGAUACCCCCGUAGUCCCUGAGCGGGCUGGCAAGGCGCAU